CUAGGAGAGAAUUACAGUAAUCCAUGCAAAAGAUUACCAGAGCAUGAACUAGCUUCUUGGCAGCAUCAUGCGUGAGAAAGGGGCAGAUGCAGGCGAUAUUUUAAAGGUGGAAUCGACAGGUUUUAGCAACAUACUGGAUAUGUGGCGCAAAGGUGAGGCCAGGAUCAAAGAUAACACCAAGACAAUGAGCUUGCAAGGAUGGACUGAUGCAAGUACCAUC